rnacentral:rRNA from 1 species
GACGAACGCUGGCGGCGUGCUUAACACAUGCAAGUCGAACGGAAAGGCCCUGCUUUUGUGGGGUGCUCGAGUGGCGAACGGGUGAGUAACACGUGAGUAACCUGCCCUUGACUUUGGGAUAACUUCAGGAAACUGGGGCUAAUACCGGAUAGGAGCUCCUGCUGCAUGGUGGGGGUUGGAAAGUUUCGGCGGUUGGGGAUGGACUCGCGGCUUAUCAGCUUGUUGGUGGGGUAGUGGCUUACCAAGGCUUUGACGGGUAGCCGGCCUGAGAGGGUGACCGGCCACAUUGGGACUGAGAUACGGCCCAGACUCCUACGGGAGGCAGCAGUGGGGAAUAUUGCACAAGGGGCGGAAGCCUGAUGCAGCAACGCCGCGUGCGGGAUGACGGCCUUCGGGUCGUAAACCGCUUUCGCCUGUGACGAAGCGUGAGUGACGGUAAUGGGUAAAGAAGCACCGGCUAACUACGUG